rnacentral:rRNA from 1 species
AUUGAACGCUGGCGGCAGGCCUAACACAUGCAAGUCGAACGAGUGGCGGACGGGUGAGUAAUGUUUGGGAAUCUACCCUAUGGAGGGGGAUAACUACGGGAAACUGUAGCUAAUACCGCAUACCAUAGGAUGUGCCCAGGUGGGAUUAGCUAGUUGGUGAGGUAACGGCUCACCUAGCCGACGAUCUCUAGCUGGUCUGAGAGGAUGACCAGCCACACUGGGACUGAGACACGGCCCAGACUCCUACGGGAGGCAGCAGUGGGGAAUAUUGCGCAAUGGGGGCAAGCCUGACGCAGCCAUGCCGCGUGAAUGAAGAAGGCCUUCGGGUUGUAAAGUACUUUCAGUAGGGAGGCGUUAACUACAGAAGAAGCACCGGCUAACUCCGUGCCAGCCGCCGCGGUAAUAC